rnacentral:rRNA from 1 species
CCUACGGGAGGCAGCAGUGAGGAAUAUUGGUCAAUGGACGAGAGUCUGAACCAGCCAAGUAGCGUGAAGGAUGACUGCCCUAUGGGUUGUAAACUUCUUUUAUAAAGGAAUAAAACGAGGCACGUGUGCCUUUUUGCAUGUACUUUAUGAAUAAGGAUCGGCUAACUCCGUGCCAGCAGCCGCGGUAAUACGGAGGAUCCGAGCGUUAUCCGGAUUUAUUGGGUUUAAAGGGAGCGUAGAUGGGUUGUUAAGUUAGUUGUGAAAGUUUGGGGCUCAACCGGAAAAUUGCAAUUGAUACUGGCAGUCUUGAGUGCAGUUGAGGUAGGCGGAAUGCGUGGUGUAGCGGUGAAAUGCUUAGAUAUCACGCAGAACUCCGAUUGCGAAGGCAGCUUACUAAACUGUCACUGACAUUGAUGCUCGAAAGUGUGGGUAGCAAACAGGAUUAGAUACCCUAGUAGUC